UUUAAAUGGCCGCAGUAUACUAACUGUGCAAAGGUAGCAUAAUCAUUAGUCUUUUAAUUGAAGGCUGGUAUGAAUGGUUGGACGAGAUAUUAACUGUUUCAUAUAAAUUUAUAAUAGAAUUUUAUUUUUUAGUCAAAAAGCUAAAAUUUAAUUAAAAGACGAGAAGACCCUAUAAAUCUUUAUAUAUAGAUUAUUAGAAUUUUGUAGAUUUUUUUUGUUAUAAUAAUUAAUUAUAUUUUAUUGGGGUGAUAUUAAAAUUUAAUAAACUUUUAAUUUUUAAAAUCAUUAAUUUAUGAAUAAAUGAUCCGUUAAUAACGAUUAAAAAAAUAAGUUACUUUAGGGAUAACAGCGUAAUUUUUUUGGAGAGUUCAUAUCGAUAAAAAAGAUUGCGACCUCGAUGUUGGAUUAAGAUAUAAUUUUAG
rnacentral:rRNA from 1 species